UCAUCCCCUGUUCAACAGUGUUCCCAGCCCCGCCCCUGAGCGUCGCUCGAGUUUUUCCCGUUCUGAGCGCUCCCGAGCAUCCUGCGAGCUCCCCCUUUUUCGUUCUCUCCUUCUCCUCCGUCUCUCCCACUUCUCUCUUCUGAGUUUCCCCCUCGCCUUCUCUUCUUCCCUCGCCCCCGUCUCUCCCCCUUCUCUCUUCCGAGCCUCCCCCAGAAAAACACUUGGGGAAAAUUAGAGGAAAUGGAUAAUAGUUUUCGGCAAUUCCGGAAAUGAUUUUCUUGCCCGUCAACGCUGCCCACUUCUUGAUCCUGGACUCUCACCCCACCGCCUUGUCCUUCCAUCGACGACGACCCUGCGUGGCUGCGUCAGAAGGUGCUGCCGAGGAGGUCGCUGUGACCUCCAUUGCUGCUGAAGAUGCUACUUCAGAAAUUUUUCAUUCCUGCAAGAAAAUGCAGGCAAAGGUCGUCGAUUGAGCAGUAGAAGUUCGCUUUAUGAUCAGCUGCUGCUAUGAAUUUGCUGCAGGAUUCUGCUCCACCGGACUUGGUUCUUGCAUUCUACCACGAACUUAACUGUCCUACAAUCUUUGAUUUCCAUCUCACAAAAUUUCUCAAUCCAACUCCAGCCCCAACCCGGACUUUGACAGCACCAAGCUCCUCUCUAAGGAUCCUGUACUCUGAUACCCAACGCCAAGUGCUUGUUCUAUGAUGUUGAGCUUCAGGGAUUUCAGUUUGUUGCUUAAGCUGCCUUUGUGUAUAAUCAACUUAUAAGUUGUUAUUUACUUGUACGUUGGGAAUUCAUAGCCAUAAUGGCAUUCAAGGAUGUGGGUAUCCCAUGGGAGUUGCAGGACGUUAUGGAGGAGGAGGUGGUGGAGCUCAUUUUGGUGGAUAUGGCUUCAGUAAUGCUGCUUACUAACCACAUCCAAUGACCAUGAUGAGCAGCAUCAACAGCAGGCCGAACCAGAACCACAACCAAGUGCUGAAUGAGAGAUACAUGCAGAUGAUGUACAGCAGGUCUCCUCUCACCCCACUUGCUACCACUUCCUACCUAUUUGUUCAGUGAUGAUAACAUCAGCAGUUGUGCCAUCAUGCGAAGGGAAAGAAAAAAAAAAAAAAACAAAGAAACAAACAUGGUGUUUUUGUCUACCGUGUUUAGAAUAUAGGAGAUAAGGUCUUAUUAAGCGUUUCCCUUUCCUUUUUUUUUUUUUUUUUAUUUCAGUCCUUUGUUGAGUGAUCUAUGGUGUUCUCAUUGCUUGCACUCCAUCUUCUUCGGCAGAAGAUGAAAUAUCAUGUUACCAUAUUGGAGAAAUGGGCAGAGCAACAAAAUCUCCAUGUGAUGUCCACGUUGAAAAACAAAAAGCACUUGUGGAUAUAGUUCUGGCCAAAUGCGUUGGAACGAUAUAGUUGGCAGACAUUUUGAAAAAUGUAGUAAUAGUAGCCUAUGCUAGGUGUUGCUGUAACAACGAUGUAUCAUGGAUUGAGCUCUAUAAUAUAGACUUCUUGCUGCUUGUUUUGUUUA